rnacentral:rRNA from 1 species
CCACUAUGCUUAGCCAUAAAACAUUAACCCACACCCAACCCGCCAGGGAAUUACGAGCCCAAGCUUAAAACCCAAAGGACUUGACGGUGCCCCACCCACCUAGAGGAGCCUGUUCUAUAAUCGAUUCUCCCCGAUCUACCUCACCGCCUCUUGAACAACCAGUCUGUAUACCUCCGUCGCAAGCUUACCAUGUGAACGCACACAGUGAGCCAAAAGAUACACCACCCAUACGUCAGGUCAAGGUGCAGCCCACGAAGCGGGAAGAAAUGGGCUACAAUCUCUACCAUAGAACAAACGGAAGACUGUAUGAAACACAGUUAUGAAGGCGGAUUUAGUAGUAAAAAGAAAACAGAGUGUUCUUUUUAACUAGGCGCUGGGACGCGUACACACCGCCCGUCACCCUCUUCAAACAAACUUAAAAGUCACUAACACUAUACUACUAAAUAGAAGAGGCAAGUCGUAACACGGUAAGUGUACUGGAAAGUGCACUUGGAUUAACAAAAUGUAACUUAACUAAAGUAUCUUGCUUACACCAAGACUAUGUCAGUGAAACUCUAACCACUUUGAGCCUAAAUCUCAGCCCUAUUAAUUCCACAUGAAACUUUAUUCCUUUUUCCUAACAACAAAACAUUUUUUCAACUAAGUAAAGGCGAUUAAAAAGUUACUAGGAGCCCCAACACCAGUACCGCAAGGGAAAAGUGAAAUAAAAAUGAAAUAAAUCUAAAGCACAACGCAGUAAAGACUCCCCCCUUGUA